UAUAGGUAAACUUGUGUAAUGGGGGUUUGUUGUACAGAUUAUUUCAUCACCCAGAUAUUAAACCUAGUACCCAUUAGUUAUUUUUCCUGACUCUCUCCCUCCUCCCACCCUUCACUUUCCAACAGACCCCAGCAUGUGUUGUUACCCUCUAUGUAUCCUUGGGUUUUCAUUAUUUAGCUCCCACUUCUAUAGACUAGUUUAAUUUAUUAUUACUUUUAAUUUAGUUUGUGAAUAAAAAGUUCAGGAGCGUAGUAGCUAAAUGAAAUACGUGUGAUAUUUUAAAUGAGGAAUUUAACAGAUUUUUAUCAGUGUGUUUUACAAGAUGGAUUAAAGUAAGUUUCAUUAACCACAUCCAGUUUAAUUCCUCAAUCUUUUAAGAAGAAAAUGCAUUAAUAGAGAUAUGUUUAGUGAUAUUUUAUUAUGGAUAUAGUCAGGCUAAAAAGAGAGACAUUCAUUACUCAAACAUACUCCUGAAAUUACUUUUAGCAAUUGGAAUAACUUUGUAUAUGCAAUAAUCAAUUUAGCUUCAAUAUUAUUCUUUCUUGGACUUGAUUUCAUUUCCAGCAAGUGGAAAGAAAAUGAAUAUACACACAGACAAAAUUUUAUUUUACUUGCUAUGGAAAUAUUUUUAUGUUAUAAAUGAGAGAUUACACCAAUAUCAAUCUUAAAUUGGGUUCAUAAUACAGUUUCUCAAGGAUAUGUUCUUGGUCAUCAUCUUGCCAAUCAUUAUACUCUCUCCCUCAUUCACUCAACUAACAGAACACUAUUGGUGCUAUGGAGUGUUGAGAUUUUCACUCAUGGGCCUCGGGAGAGUGUGGGAAACAAGACAGUAUGCUCAUUGCUGUAGCUGCUAUCUCUCAAAAAGGCAAAAUCUGUAUACUCAGGCCAGUUGUUCCUCUGGUUUUAAACUUUUAUUUCUAUUGGUAUUGUCUCAGUAUUGGCUCUGGAAGGAACCUGAUGCUAAGUUCGGCAUCCAGGGAAAGGCAUGGUAGAUCAUGCUUGAGUCAGGCAUGAUCUGCCACAGGUGGGGCAUUGACCUAUCCUCUGUGGUCACGGAAAUGAGAAAUGACAGUUAAUCAGGUGAAGACCAUGUGCAAUGGCAAAAGGGCCAUUUCUUAAAUAGAAAAUAGAGUUAUUCAAAUUAGAGAAGAGAUUGGGAAGGCUGCAAACAAAUGAUAACUGCGGUCUACCAGAAUUAUAGUCUAACAGAAAUUACAGAGGAGUUCAUGGUGUCUCAAAUUCCUGACAGAUACUAAUUUUAAGGAUUCAUGGAGGAGAUAUCAGAAUUCCCAAAUUAUCAGAGAAUCACAAAAUCAUAAAUUAUUCUUAAAUAUUUUCAGUGUUCUUUAUAUUCUACUCGUUAACAUGGAUAUCAAGAAUGCUUAAUAAAUUAUAUUUAAUAGUAUCUACAAAAAAUUAUAGUCUACAGGUAAUACCCAAAUUCUUGAAAGUUCCAGGAAACACUCAAGAUAGUGUUUGAUUAUUGCAACAUUGGCAUCUCUUAGCAGCAUUAGCCUCCUACACAUACUCAUAUGCAGAAUUGCCUAAUUAAGGUCAUAUUUUGCUUCCAAAACUUAUUUCUUGGAACACCACUCAUAGGUUUUUAUAAAAAAUGCUACCUGCACAAAUCUAUUACUAUUGGUUUUAUUCACACACAAAAAAAAUUGACUCGCUUUUAGCAGCAAAGCGGGCCUGGAUCCCACUCUUGUAAUAGUGCAAAGGCUGCAAGCAAAACUGACUAGAUUCUGACUGCGUCUCUGUUAGGUGAUCCUUUCCAGCUUCCCAGAAAGGGUGAGCUUAGCCUGUUAGUCCUGCCUGUUAGACUUCCUGUUUUUGCUUUUUAUUUGAUGUCAGUGAAUUUCUUGGUCCAUCAACCUCUCUAUAUUGAUAGCUAAGCUUACAAUAAUUUUUUAUAAUUUUCAAAUUUCUGGACUCAUAUUUUCAGGAUUGAAGAUUUGGAAGAAGAUUAGUUUCCUCGUUAAUGCAAGAGAGGGAUUCCCUCAUGGAAGCACUAUAUGAAGUUCUAAGAUUUCAUGCAAUUUAAUAGUAACAGAACUUUUUAAGAAACUGUUUGGAGGCAGCAUGUUGGGGACAUAGAGUCAAAAAGCGCACCUUGAACCACAUGUAAAAAUGAUGAUAAAAGGCAGGCACAUGUAUAUGUUGGUCCAUAUGAGCUCUGCUACCUAUUAUAGCAUUUGUCACAGAUUGCAUAUGCAAUAAAUGCUUAACUCGAGAAAGUUAAGUUCUAUCUGCCAAUAAUCUCACUGUUUAUAACAUACGUAUAUAUUCUAAAUAACCACAGAAAAUUGUCAAUUUGCACUUACAUAUCGAGAAAUUAAUUUUUAUUUCUUACUGGGUAAAGAAUAAUUAAAUUGUAUAUUAAACAUUGUUUUUAUCUCUGUUUUCUUUGUUUUACAUCACAUCAGCAAAGAUCUAGUUAAAUAACUCAGUCUCCAUUUGUUCAUAUAAAAAUUCAUUUUUUUCAAUCUAUGUUACAUCUGCCUUUAAUAUUUGCCAACUGAAUAAUCAAGAUCAUUUGAUUAAUAUUCUCCUUAUGUUUGAGGUCAGACCCAUGAAAUAUCACAAGAAACAGGGCGCGGUGAUGGAUAAAAGUUAUAAAAUAGAAAUGCAUUUCAAAAAGUACAAAGUCAGGUGGGUCAAGUUCCUUUUACAGCCUCCUAAUAUCAAGGUUAUUUCAUUAAUUGUUAAAAUGAUUGUACAAUACGGCAGAUUUAAAGAACAAUGAAGAAAUCUAUGCAGAGACUGCCAGCUGUCUUCCCUAUGGAAUUUUCCUCCAAACAACACCACUAAUUUCUAAUUGAUGUCAUGGCCAACUGAAAUGAAAGAUACAUUUCUCAUCUUUGCAUUGAGUAGUGGCAUGUGACUAAAAGGAUGAAAGUAGAACUAUUACAUAACAAUUCCUCCUGAGAAAUUUUCUACAGAGCUCCCGAAGUGUAUUGCUGCAUCAUCUACACUGCUGUUUGCAAUUAGCCAAUGUGAAGGCCAGAGUUUCAUGUUGGAUCAUAAGGGUGAGAUCUAUGAUGGCCACGAUAGAGAAGGAAGUAGAAAGUAGCUUGAUUCAUGGCUGACUUGAUUGCUUACAUGUGAAUAUUACUGUAAGAGUGAAAUAAACUUCUAGAUUUUAAGCCAC
rnacentral:lncRNA from 1 species